GGACACGGUGGAUCCCUAUUUCUUGACCUUGUGAAUCACGUCUAGGCGUUUGCACACCUGACAGUGCGAAUAGCAUGCGGCACCCUUAAGAGGAUCUUGCAGCACUUGCCACCGCACCCAAGCUGAAAAUCAUAGGUUUUAGGAAUACAAUCUCCAGCUUCACUUAGAGUAAGGUGAAAUGCAUUGUGGGUGUAGCAGAGCUCCAGGAUAAGAGAGGGCUUAAUACAUUUAUAUAUGAUGGAUGAGAAGAUGAACGUGAUCGUUCAUAAUAAGAUUAUGAAGAAAAUAGAUAAAUGUACCAACUGUAUUGGCAUCAAACCAUGUCCCCUCUAAGUGACUGCAUGUCCCCAUAGCAAUAUAAGUAGCGAGACCAUUGCCAUGUUAACCCUGCUUUGUAAAGGGUGAAAGCUGCAGUGAUUUUAGCUCCCCGGGGUGGCCACGGGGGCACGCAGUGGCAAUGGUCCCAUGAGAACAGCUGAUGCCUGUUUCCUACUCUGCUAGCUUGAUGGCUAAGAGUUGCAUCCAUCCUCCGGUCCGCAUGAAGUGACCGGACAAGGAAGACGGCAGGAGAACUGCAUCCGAGAAACCAACUGGUGGCUUCGGCAGUGGUGUCUCGAGGCAGGCUUCAGCUUCAAGGACAAUGACCCGCACAUCACGACGAGGGACAUGCUCAGCUGGGAUGGGCUUCACCUGUCUCCCAAAGAUGCUCCCUUGCCUUGGGGACGGCACCCAGUCCAGAGGGAUGUUCGAUGGCCGGGGGCUGCGACGCCACGUGACGGGCUCCCACCCCGCACAUGCAUCAAAGGACGGGGGCAUUCUCUCCGCCUGCCACGAUGUCAGCCAGCUCGUUGCCACCGUAGAUCAAACUGUUUGCAAACAUCUCCCAAAGGUCAGCGAGGCAUCCAUCGGGGCGGUUUGAUCUUUUCAGCUUCCCGAAGCCGCCUGAAUCUAUAGCUGUGAUUACUGCGAACAGCUGGCUGCCUUCCACCGGCAAUUAAUUCUCCUGGGACGGAGACGGAAAAUGACAUCCCCGCACAACAAAAGAUUUAUCCAUGCGCUCGGCUCUGUCGGCAGAAAUAAAAGCCUUCAUUUGCCCA